UGUGUGUGUGUGUGUGUGUGUGUGUGUGUGUGUGUGUACAGAUGCAGAAGCCAAAGAGGGUGUUGGAGCUGCUGAGCUACCCGAUGUAGAUAUUGGGAACUGAACUCAGAUCCUCAGAAGAACAUCAACUCUCUUAACACCUCUCCAGCCCCUACCUUGGUUUUAGACAGUGUCUUAACUGCCUAGGCUGGCUGGACACACCAGUCUCCACCUCCCCAGCUCCAGAAUUACAAGUGAGCAUCACACACUGGUUCUGGGAUAAAACUCAAAUCCUCAUGCUUGUGUAGCAAGCACUUUACCCACUGAACCAUCUCCCCAGCCCUCGGUUUCUGUACUUCAAGAAACUAAGUUUCUUUUUCGAUAAAGAAAAACCAACUUGAAAAGACACAGAAAAUUCAAGUACGUGCUUCUGAGUGACAGGAGCCAGCCUGUGAGGGCUUCUCACAUCAUACCAAGCUAGAAUCUGGAAAUCGAAGGCUGCUAGUGGUGGUCCGGUGCUGCAUGGGCAGGGGGAGCAUUUCAGGAUGAUGAAACCGUUCUGUGUGAUUUUACUUCAAGGUGGAUACAGGCCACACUGCUCUUGUCAAAACCCACCAAAUGAUGCAUUCAAAUUAAAAUGUGGUCUCUGGCUUUGUGGCAGAGUACUUCCCUUUCAUCCCUGAGGCCUUAGGCUCCACCCUCAGCAUCUCACGAAGCAAAUGGAGAUCUUAACUGUAAGAAGACAUCUGCAGUUUCACUGGAGGAAAUACUAAUGUUGCUUGGCUAAAGAAAGGCUUUACUUAUAAAGUCAUCCCUGAGGGAAUACAGGGAGACAGCUUGGGAGCUGUGCAGCCUACUAGGAGGAAGAAUCAGAAUGACCUGAGAGCUAGGUUCUGAGUGAAUUGACCUAGAGAGGGUUAGUUUUCCCAGCAUAACAGAUGCUCCCCCUCCCCUUUUAAUGAGAGAUAAAGGUUAAGUACUAUGGCCAAGGUCACACAACUAACAGAGUCCACACUGGAAGCCUGGCAGAGACAGGCUGCUCCUAACCACCACACCAGUUCCAGACGCUCUGCUGUUAACUAUUACAGUUGGGCAUGUCAAGCAAGUUGUGUUAAAUGACAUUAGGACUCAUCAUAGACUGGACCAAAGAAACUGCAGGUCAGAUUCAGGAAACCCUUCUUGCUUUGGUUAUCUCCAAGGCCUGAGCAGUUGCUUAUGCUAAGUGAGGGCAUGCCCCUGCCUGGGAAGCAGCACAGGAAGCAAGGACAGGUAAACACGGACUUUCGCUAGGGUCAUCAGCUUCUCUUGCAAUGGAGAGCUCAGCCCAGGUCUGGGACUCUGCUUCCAAACACACCCUCUUCCCAGAAACCGAAGCUCUCUUGCUACCCACAGUCCUAGGGUCCCUCUGUUGCAGGUUAUCUGUGGUUCUCUGAGCAUAGCUUUGGCACUCUAGGCUCCUCACAUAGGCCUAGGGUCCAGCUUGUGACAGGCUGGCCAAUUAGAGCUUUCCAUCUUUGAGAACACAUUAGUUCAGGGAUGACAUUCAGAGCCAAUCAGAGUGAGAUUUUUCUCAAGCCUUCUGGAAAGAAUUUUUCCCCACUGUGAUUCUGUGCAGGUGGGGUCCAUAACGCCUCCACCAAGAGAUGAGGAGAAUCAAGUCUGCUCAUCCCUUGAGUCUCUUGAAUCUAGCCCUUCCUGAAGCCUGAUACCUAGGGCGUUUGGAAUUUUCAUUUAUCUGUUGGAAUGAUUUAGCAUUCAAGUUCUUUUUUAAAUUGCUAGUAACCAAUUUCAGAGGCCUUUGCCUAAUAACAGAACUGACUCUACCCAAACCCCAGCAGAGGUGAAAGGAGGACAUGUUAUUCCUAAGUGAGUACUGGAGGCAUACACUCCUUGGUCAAAUGCCAACUUUCUCUGGGGUAGGUCCUGCAAGUGAGGCCAGGUUAGCCAGGCUUCCCCCAGGCUUCACUCAGGGUCUUCAGCGGUAAACAAAAAAUGGCUAAGUAGCCUUUGGCCCUAAUGAGAUCUUAGAGCCCAGAAUCCAUAACAAAAGAGGGAACAUGUGUUCCUUCCAAAGGCGCAUGCUUCCUAUGCUUUGUUAGCACAGUAAGCUGUGAUCUGAGGUGUGACAUCCUGGGUGCAUUUGAAUCUCUUAGCACUUAUCUCAUGCCCUUUUGAUACUAGGGAGCACAGUAUGCCUAAGUGUGUAUACGUGGGGGUCUCAAUGACUGCAAGAAAUAGUAGGGGUGAGGCCAUUGCAGCUUCAUAGAGCCACAGUACAGUCUGGAGAACACACCCUCCAUCUCAUGACACCCUAGGGGACCUCUGGCAAGGGAAGAGAGCUCCAGAAGCUGGCCGGAAGUUCCCUGUGCAGGAAGGACAUGAUCACGGUGGCUCGUGGGCACUAGCCACUCUAAGGAUAAGGUUCCUCAUGGGGCCGGUUUCCUAAAAUACAAACCGGCUGAGGGAGCGUGAAAGGUGCUAACAGCUGGUCCUACUGUGGCAAAGGAGCGUGCCCAGAUGGCCUUUGGCCGGUGAAGCAAGGGUUUCUAGAAGAAAGGCCAGCCCAGUCAGAAUGUUCUCUGUGUUAGCUUUGUCUGGAGGCUGCCCUGCCUGGUCUCAAGUGAUUUGGGUGGAUAUAUAUUUUUGAUAGACUGAAAGAUUCCAGAGAGAGAGAGAGAGAGAGAGAGAGAGAGAGAGAGAGAGAGAGAGAGAGAGAGAGAGGAGAGAGACAGAGAGAGGCAGAGGAAAAAGUGCUGAUGGUAAAGGUUGCAAGGGAUGUAGCUCAGUGACCCAGCAUGCACUAGGCUCCAGGUUCCAUCCUCAGCACUACAAGCAAGCAAGCAAGAACAUCUUGUCUUUAAAAAGAGUCUGACCAUACCCAAGGUUGCUGAAGAUUUAGGUAGGGACUUGCAGUGCAACCACACAGUGGGCACUCAGCCUACCUUUCUGGGGCGCUACCUAGCCUGGCACAUCAAGAUUUAAAAUGCAGAUUACUUAACUCAUAUCUAGGACAUCUUUUGCAAGGAGCUAGCGGACCACAAAGUAGAAAGAUGAAUGGAUAAGAGCGCUCACUGCGGCACAGUUUAUCACGGGAAGCCUGAGGCAAGCUAAGCAGGCAGAGGAGGACCAGAAAAAAUAAAUGCUGGUGCCUGAUGGAAAAUUCCUCAGCAUCCACGGUUGCACAGCUCUUCAUGCCCUGACCCAGGAGAGGCCUCCAUUGCUGAUUUAAGCACAGGGCAGGCCAGCGCCUGGACCCAAAGUUUCCACCCAGAGACACCUUGGAGAGCUUAUAAAUUAUACAGAUCUCAGACUCAGACUUAAUCAGGGUCCUCAGUGGGGCAGGGAAGAUACUGGUGUUUUUAGGGAAGAAGGACCGUUCUGCCUUAGCUCUGUUUCAUUUUUGUUUUGGAGACUGGGUAGCACUUGGCCUCUUCACAUCUGUUUCCAAACAGAUCUCAAGAGCUAUUGUAGGACUUAGGAGAGAGUAGCCAAUGAGUGCUCCGAAUGCCACUUGGCAUACUUCCUUGCUGUUGUUAUUUGUAGCCACUGUUGGGGGUUGUGUGUCUUGUUGGGUGUCCCAGACUAGCUUUGAACCCACACUCCUCUGCCUCUUCUCUCUGACUACAGGCACGUGCUCUCACAAACCGCUAUUCUUACUUUUAAAACACGACUGCACAGGUGUUUCUGACCUUCCAGUUCUACUGCAAGGACAUCAAAUCAUUCCAUUCAACCACUGGUUCUUAAACCUCUUCGUGUGUGUGUGUUACAGGCACUGUUAGAAUCAGACGGUGUGAUGGACCAAUUCCCCAGGAGACACACAUGUACACCAGUAUACUUUUGUUUCCUCCACUUCCAAGGUUCAUGGGGAGUCCAGGGCCUCAGACAGGCCCCUCUAGGAGGAGCUGGCAAGGAGACAUGGCUCUAUCAGGACCCCAAGACCAGCCAGGCCCUUCGUCUGUUACCACAGCUCCUGAGGAGGCCGUUAGGCUCCCAACGGUGACCUCUAACUUGACUGUGCCUUCUCCUGUCCCUGUCCCCAGCUGGGCUGGCAUUGAGUCCUUACCAACAUCUCCACAGACACAGGCAUCUGGCCUGGAACUUUAUGUAAGAAGAGAGCAACUUGGAUUGUAGCCACGCUGGGACUUUCCCUUCUGUCCAGAGGCGGGCUUCUGGCAUCCCUCCUGGCUAGGGGUCAGGGUGCUGAGGAAGCUGACAACAUCUAGGUAUGGCAGGGAUAUGGGUGGCUCUACAGAAAGUGAGGGCUCAACACAUUUCCCUGCUUACAGGGGAGGAGCAGGCUGUGCCCUGGGCUUCCACAUUCAACCCUGCAAAACCGUAUAAAGGGACUAGCUCCUGGACACAGCUCACACUUAUGCCUGGCAGCUGGAUGGAUGGAUGUUGCUAAAGAGAAAUGCCGAUAACUUUCUGUCUGCCACGGGCUCUGUUCCAGCUGUAUGUCCUCAGGAAAAGCCACUCUUGUGAGCCUUAGCUUACACCGGUCCGUUCUUGAAGAAGGGGGUAUGAGGGGCUAACUUCACAGAGUAACGUUGGGACUGAUAAACUAGUGCAGGCUGAAGGCAGAAUGGUGCUAGCACAGUUAGUGCUCAACAUGUGACUAUGCCAAGUGGUCAGUGGCCAUCCACAACUGGGGUUCAGUAUUCCUGUCGGACCCCUGAGGCGUCUUUGGGGAAUUGAGAAAGGUCAUUUGUUUAAGCUCGGGCGUGGGACCCAGGCAGCUUCCUUUAAACAAUAUCCUAAGGGGCACCUGUCCAGCAUCAACAGUAGGGCCUUAGAGGUGCCAGUGACCACCCCCUCCAUCCUACUGUGACCUCACCCCUGAGCAGAAACAGGUAGUCUUGGCCACCCAGAUGUCACCCCAACUGCUGCCAAAUUGGCUUUCUUCCUCUGAUCCCAGAAGAAUUUGUGAACAUCGACCCAAGUUAGAGAGAAGUUGGUGAUGGAAGAGGGAGGGUAAGAGUGGACAGACUCAAAGCUUCCGGUCACGGUGAGCCAAUUUGGGAUUCUAUUCUAUAUAUGCCCACAUAGGGUCUCUGCAGGACUGGGCCUGGCUGUAGCAGAGACCAGCUUAUAAAUGUAACUGUUUGACAACUCACCUCUGCGCUCUCCUUGCAGGGACCACGACAAGUAAACCCUAGCCCUGAGUGUCUCACACCCCACUUCUAAGAGACCCCAGCCGAGACCCACAAGCUCCAUGCUCAGUGCCACCAGGUGACAAAACAGGGUCUUCAGGGUGGGACACUGGCCCCAGGUCACACAACCACACUCAAGAGCCACCCCUCUCAGCAAGAGCCGAGAAACCUCCCAGCACUAACACAUGGUACAUUCAGUGGUCCUGAGUCCUACGUCUGCGGCACCCAUGGAUUCAACCAAGCUUGCAUGAGGAACAUUGGAGGAAAAGAUUCCGUCUGUUCUGAACGUGUGCAGCAUUUUUGUGGCUGAUACCUAGGCAGUGCAUAAUGAGGAUGGACAUCGUAUUGGGUACGAGAUUCCCUUGUGCAUCUGGAUCCUGCCUCGACCUCCAGGCCAUCGACCGCAUACAUUAUUGAUGUGUAGAAGAUGGCUGGUGGUGUGGGGUGGUCUGCUAUGCUCACAGAGAAAAGGCAUGCUACAACCAGAAGGUACAUGGGAAGAGGAGCUCCUUAAACAAGAACCCCACUCAGGCAAAUAUAGGGGUGGGAUGCACCCUGGAUAUUGACCGUUGGCUCGUAGUGUAGUCAUAAUAGUGUCAUGGUGUCUCCAUCAGGGACACCCUGUCAUUUAUUUAACUGUGUCCUGUGCACUGAUCCCUUAAACCCCAUCACAGUAAAAAACUUCUCCUGAUGUUUCUAAACUUGUACUAGAGGCUGGCUACUGGGAAAAGGCACUGGCUGCCAAGCCUGACAACCUAAGUUAGAUCCCUGGGACUCACAGUAGAAAGAAAAGAACCAAUACCUGUAAGUUCUGUGUAUAUGUUGCACGUGCACACACACAAGGGACAUGGCUACAUAGUGUCCUUUGGUGAGACAUCAUUCUGAACAGUCACUUGUCAGGGCUGGGAUACUAGGAACCAAAAUUUAGGAACUAGAUGGGACAGAACAAGCUGCCAUGGGUCCACAGCAAGGUGGAGGGGCUCCUGGUGAUGGCGAGUCUCCCUUUUAAGAGUCAUCUGCGGUAAACUCCAUUAAAAGAGUUCUCAGCCGCACACCCUAGGCAAUCUCUCUAGUUUUAUACCCAAUUCCAUCUUCCCUUGGGGAUGAAGAAAUGAUGUUUGGGAAGAGGCUUCCAGAAUCUGGAUCUCUCAUCUGUGCACCCUUUGACCGGUGGAUCUCAACCAGAGGCAAUUUCGGAUGUCACAACUGGAGAGGGGACAACGGGCAUCUGUUGAAUAGACUAGGCCUACAACGACAAUAGCAGUCAUCACCCAACAGAGUGACACAGGCCAAUACCAAUGACCAGACUGAGGUUGAGGAAGGCUGGUUUUACCCAUCUAAGUCAAAACUGGUGAGAGACGCUAGGAAGCCCACCAGGUCUUGGUCAGGCCCGGAAUUUGCCACCUUUCUUUGCAAGAACUUGGCUUUCUUUUAGCUCCACCCGGAAUUUCAGGUGAAGCUCCUCCUCCAAGGUCUUGGCUGUAAACUGCAACUCAGUUUCCUCAGCUCCUCUCACUGGCUUCCUGCUUCACCUGGGCACCCCAACCUGAAAUGAGCAGUGCCAAGUCGGCACCCACACCUCUGAACCCACGCAGUGUCCUUGCACACAGAGUCUUCGUUUCCUUUCUGACACAGGAAGUGGACCCUCUCGUGCUCUCUGUUUUCAUGGCCACAGGUAAAGCCCUUUUCUCCUUCCAGGGUGGAUAUGGGUUUUGCAGCAGCAUCUGGUUCUCUGAUUUCUGGAACUAGAGCCCAACUUCCCUCUGGAGCUGGGCGUCUGGUCUGAGUCAAGUGGCAGAAGUCCUUAGAAGUAGAGCUAGUGUAGAGACCAAGGGGCCUUUAGCAGGUGGGGCUUGAUGGGUCACCUUUGAUAGCUAAUGGCCUGGCUUUUUAGAUCCAGCAGCAGAGUCCUGGUCUAUGGCCAUGUGAACGACCGAUGCCAUACACUGCCACCGCCAUGCCAUCCCGCCAGGAUGAAAUCUCAACCGUGAACCAAAAUAUCCCUUUCAUUUUGUUUUGAUCAGUUAUUUUGUGUGUCAAGAAAUGUAGCUGUGAUGGGUUAUAUCAACUUGAUAGGCUCUGGACUCACCUAGGAGACAAGUUCUUGGACAUGACCAUGAGGAGUUGAUUAUCUGGAUUAGGCUAACCGAGCUGGGUAUACCCAUACUAAAAGUAGGCCACACCAUACACUGGGCUGAGGUCCCAGACUGCAUAAGGAGACCAUGAGCUGAGCACUAACGUUCAUCCCUCCCUACCUCCUGAUUGUGUAUUCAGUGUGACCAGCUGCCUUAAGAUCCUACAGCUUUGACUUCUCUGUCCUGAUCAAUUAUACCCUCCAACUUUGACCCGAGAUAAACCCUUUCUCCUCUUAA
rnacentral:sRNA from 1 species